rnacentral:rRNA from 1 species
CAGCCGCCACGGUAAUGCGGAGGGCGCGAGCGUUACCCGGAUUUACUGGGCGUAAAGGGCGUGUUGGCGGCCUGGGGCGUCCCAUGUGAAAGGCCACGGCUCAACCGUGGAGGAGCGUGGGAUACGCUCAGGCUAGAGGGUGGGAGAGGGUGGUGGAAUUCCCGGAGUAGCGGUGAAAUGCGCAGAUACCGGGAGGAACGCCGAUGGCGAAGGCAGCCACCUGGUCCACUUCUGACGCUGAGGCGCGAAAGCGUGGGGAGCAAACCGGAUUAGAUACCCCUGUAGUCCCUGUCUCUUAUAC